GGGGUGCCGCCCUUUCUGUGUCGGUACUAAGUCGCGACGGACAAUAUUAAGGUGAUGGAUGAGCGCAGUAGCCGUCAAAACACGCUCUCGGCCCAAACUCGAGUCGAUCAGUGAAACGCAGUUUUAAUUACGAUUUACUCUCACAAAUCAGAGAAAAAACACAAGCUGAUUUUUCUGCUGAGAACUUCCAUUUGUCGGCCGAUCACAGCGUCUACAUAUCAACACACCCUCCAGAAUGUCCUGUGACAGAAGUGAAUAUUCGUACGCCGGCGUCCUUGACAUCACCGUCAAAACGACAGGCUGCUACGCCGACCCGAUUUCGUCUCGAGGAAAAGCUCUGCAGAUAAUCCGAGCCAUUUCGCUCAUCUUCAUCCCUCUCGUCGGCAUGGCAACCUUCGCUGCAAUAAUGCUCUCCUCUGCCAUGACGUCAGACGCCGAAAUGGAUGACGUCAGAAGACAAAUAACACGCGCACAGGACAUCGGCGAUUUCAUCCACGCGCUGCAGCUCGAGCGAGCAGACGUCGUCCUCGCGAUUCAGAUGAAGAACACUUCGUUCCUGAACGCGUCUUUCGAAAGGACGAAUCAAGAGAGCCGGCUGUUACGUCACUGGCCGUACUGCGAUCUCGUGACCAGCGACUCCCUCCUCGCACAGCUUGGCGACCACAGAUCUCACAUGUUCAACUCCAGCGUGUCGAGUUUCACUGAGAUCGCCUUCUACAGCAAUCUGAGCUCGUGCUUUCUUUCUCAUCUCAUAGGCGCCAUCACGCACAUGUCCAGCGGACAGUUCUGGCAGGACAUCGUGGCGUACAAGAUGCUCAUACGAGCCAAAGAAAACAUGGGCUUGGUGCUAGCGUUUGGAAUAGUAUUUUUCGAGAACGGGACCCUGUCUGAUGAAGACUACAAUCUGCUUCACAAGAAUGACGCGCUGGCUUUCGAUCACAUAGAGACUUACAAACAGUAUUCAGACAAUUUCUUUCCCGACAACAAUUCUGUGCUGGAAGCUGUGAAUAAAUUUCGACAAGAUUAUCAGACCAACUGGUUUCCGAACCCAUCCAACAGGAAAGGUUCCGAAUUCUACGGCGUCAUGCACCAGUAUCUGGAAAUCUUAGCCAACACCAAGCGGACGUUAAAGGAGCGCAUUCUGUUCAAAGUGGAGCAACGUGUGGAGAAAGUGAAACUCAAUCUGAUCAUGGCCUCGAUGGCCUGUGUCCUAGUCUUCAUCCUGGCUCCGGUUCUCUUCAGCCUCACUCACCGACUGACCACCUCGAUUCAGAACUACGCGAGAGAGGCGUUUAGAAAAUCUCAUCUGCUGAAGAUCGAAAAACAGCGAGCAGACGACCUACUCUACCAGAUGAUGCCGAAAAGCGUCGCCCAGCAACUGAAGAUGAACAAGGCUGUGAACGCGGAGUACUUCGAGAACGUGACCGUUUACUUCAGCGACAUCGUGGGCUUCACGACGUUGUCGGCGUCGUGCUCGCCGCUGCAGGUGGUCGAGUUCCUCAACAAGUUGUACCACUUCUUCGACGGCUGCCUCGACCUGUACGACGUCUACAAGGUGGAAACAAUCGGCGACGCCUACAUGGUCGUCAGCGGUCUGCCGCAGCGCAACGGCAUCAAGCAUGUCAGCGAGGUGGCGCUCAUGGCCGUCGAGCUGUUGCUAGGGGUGACGGAUUUCCAGAUUCCUCACCUUCAAGACAGACGUCUACAGUUGAGGAUUGGAAUACACACAGGUGAGGCUCCGUGGUAGCCGGCGUGGUGGGCACCAAGAUGCCGAGGUAUUGUCUGUUCGGCGACACCGUCAACACCGCGUCCAGGAUGGAGUCCAACGGCUUACCUCAAACGAUCCACAUAAGUAAAGAAACGAAGUGUUACUUGGACGAUAUUGGCGGAUUUACAACAAAAUCAAGAGGUUUUAUUAAUGUUAAG
rnacentral:misc_RNA from 1 species